rnacentral:rRNA from 1 species
AGAGUUUGAUCCUGGCUCAGGACGAACGCUGGUGGCGUGCUUAACACAUGCAAGUCGAACGGUGAAGCCCAGCUUGCUGGGUGGAUCAGUGGCGAACGGGUGAGUAACACGUGAGCAACCUGCCCCCUACUUCGGGAUAAGCCUUGGAAACGAGGUCUAAUACCGGAUAUGAACACUUGUCGCAUGGCGGGUGUUGGAAAGUUUUUCGGUGGGGGAUGGGCUCGCGGCCUAUCAGCUUGUUGGUGGGGUAAUGGCCUACCAAGGCGUCGACGGGUAGCCGGCCUGAGAGGGCGACCGGCCACACUGGGACUGAGACACGGCCCAGACUCCUACGGGAGGCAGCAGUGGGGAAUAUUGCACAAUGGGCGAAAGCCUGAUGCAGCGACGCCACGUGAGGGAUGACGGCCUUCGGGUGGUAAACCUCUUUCAGCAGGGAAGAAGCGAAAGUGACGGUACCUGCAGAAGAAGCGCCGGCUAACUACGUGCCAGCCGCCGCGGUAAUUC